rnacentral:ncRNA from 1 species
UUCUAAGCCUACACAUGCAAGUCUCAGCUCCCCAGUGAGGACGCCCUUUUACCUUUUCCAGGCUAAGGAGCCGGUAUCAGGCACUAAAUCGCCCAUAACACCUAGUCCCACCACACCCCCAAGGGCCUUCAGCAGUGAUUAAUAUUGUUUAUAAGUGUUAACUUGACCCAGCUAUAGAAAAGAGAGCUGGCCAACUCGGUGCCAGCCGCCGCGGCUAAACCGCACGAGCUCAAAUUGAUAAUUGUCGGCGUUAAGCGUGAUUAAGGGCCUCACUAAUUAGAAUUAAACCUAAACUCAGCUGUGAUAAGCUUGUUUUCAAGAAACACAAAUACGAAAGUUGUUCUAAUCAACCCCUUGAAUACACGACAGUCGGGAAACAAACUGGGAUUAGAUACCCCACUAUGCCCCACCGUAAAAUAUAUAUUUACACUAACAAACGCCCGGGUAUUACGAGCCUCAGCUUAAAACCCAAAGGACUUGACGGUGUCCCAUCCAACUAGAGGAGCCUGUUCUAUAAUCGAUAACCCCCGAUACACCUAACCCCUCCUUGCCAAUCAGCCUGUAUACCUCCGUCGCAAACUUACCAUAUGAAUGCCAAUAGUAGGUUAAAUGGUUAUAUCACCAACACGUCAGGUCAAGGUGCAGCUCAUGAUGGGGAAAGCAAUGGGCUACAAUUUCUAAAAUAGAACACACGGAAUGCUGCAUGAAACACAGCCACGAAGGCGGAUUUAGUAGUAAAAAGAAAAUAAAGUGUCCUUUUUAAUAAGGCCCUGGGACGUGUACACACCGCCCGUCACCCUCUUCAACAGCACACAAUAUGUUUCUAACAACUCUUGCACUUUAGAAGAGGCAAGUCGUAACAUGGUAAGUGUACCGGAAGGUGCACUUGGAUUUAC